CAUUGAUUCUCUCACCUUAAAAGCAACAUCGGCUCCUUUAGGUUUAACCGUGUAGAUUCCACUAUCCGACAGAUUGUUUUUUGUCCAGAUGUCAAAACAGUCAAAUCCUGCAGAACCAAGAAAAUUCGCUAUGACAAUGAGUCACAUGACACACAAGAAAUGACAAUGAGUCACAUGACACACAAAUACAAUGUAGAUAAAAGAAAAAUGUUCCCCCUGUAUAUGGAGCUAUGCAUGCUAUCUUAGAAAGAAAUGACAAUGAGUCACAUGACACACAAAUACAAUGUAGAUAAAAGAAAAAUGUUCCCCCUGUAUAUGGAGAUUAACAGACCAGGUGUAAAUUUCUCCCAGUCGACACUUCCCACCCAUGGGUCUGCAGCCUCUCGUCAGCUAAUCAUUAUGUUAUUAUUUAUUUUCAUAUUUUAAGUUUGAGUUCCCCAGUAUCGGUUUUAUAUGUGGCGGAUUUUAUAUGUGGCGGAUUUUAGUCGUGACUCAGACCCUCCAGCGGUUCCUGUGAAAAAACAGGUGAGUGCCGCAUGCAAUAACUUGGGGGGUCCCCAGCGGCAGGACCCCUGCGAUCCGAUAUCUUGUCCCCUAUCCUUUGGAUAGGGGAUAAAAUGUCUAGGGUGGGAGUACCCCUUUAAGGCUUUUUUAAGGCAAUCUUUGACUCUAAGCCAGAAGUGGAUCCUGCAGGUUGGAGAAGUAUAAAUCCUUCCUUUAUAUUUCUCACUCCUCAUGGACCCCUUUUUCAAAAUUGGCACAUACCUAAAAAUUCUCCAAAAUUGAUGAAAAGUGCUACCAAAAAAAUAGCAAAAAACAAAACAAAACAAACAAAAUAAAUUUGUAGAUAUAAUAUAGAUUUCCAUAACAUCUUUAGUUAAUAAAAAAGAAAUUAAAAAAUCUUCCUUGAAAAAUACUACAAAAAGCACACCAUUUUUUUAAAUUACCAUGUAUGAAACCCCCCUUAAACUGACAGAACUUACCAGUGUGAUUCGUUGACACAGAACUAGGAGCAAACACCGCAGCAGGUUCCUCGUCUUCAU